rnacentral:rRNA from 1 species
CCUACGGGGGGCAGCAGUGGGGAAUAUUGGACAAUGGGGGGAACCCUGAUCCAGCCAUGCCGCGUGUGUGAAGAAGGCCCUCGGGUUGUAAAGCACUUUCAGUGAGGAAGAACGCCUGGUGGUUAAUACCCAUCAGGAAAGACAUCACUCACAGAAGAAGCACCGGCUAACUCCGUGCCAGCAGCCGCGGUAAUACUGAGGGUGCGAGCGUUAAUCGGAAUUACUGGGCGUAAAGCGCGCGUAGGUGGCUUGAUAAGCCGGUUGUGAAAGCCCCGGGCUCAACCUGGGAACGGCAUCCGGAACUGUCAAGCUAGAGUGCAGGAGAGGAAGGUAGAAUUCCCGGUGUAGCGGUGAAAUGCGUAGAGAUCGGGAGGAAUACCAGUGGCGAAGGCGGCCUUCUGGACUGACACUGACACUGAGGUGCGAAAGCGUGGGUAGCAAACAGGAUUAGAUACCCCAGUAGUC